AUUAAAGGUCACAAAGAAAACCAUCACAGGAGCUUUCCACAGUACCACAAAUAUACGCAAUAUGUGACGUCAGCAGGAACAAAGUGUACAAAGUGAUUGACAGAGAAUUACAAAAACAUCCCUACACGGAUAUGGAGCUGGUACUUUUUGGAUGGAGGGGUGAACAUGAUGACAUAUGCAUGUUGGCUGUAUAAAAGUCCAAAGAAGAGAAGAAAAGAUCCUUCCACAUUUUUCCAGAGUGCCAUUAAUAGCAGCGAACCUUAAGUUUGCACAUGCAGAUUUGCAAAGACUCUAUGGAAAAGAUUUUAACAGCGUGACGACCAACAACAUUCAGGAAAAAUUCAUGGAUACAGUGGUU